CAGUCGCCGCGGGAAUACGUAGGUGGCAAGCGUUAUCCGGAAUUAUUGGGCGUAAAGCGCGCGUAGGCGGUUUUUUAAGUCUGAUGUGAAAGCCCACGGCUCAACCGUGGAGGGUCAUUGGAAACUGGAAAACUUGAGUGCAGAAGGGGAAAGUGGAAUUCCAUGUGUAGCGGUGAAAUGCGCAGAGAUAUGGAGGAACACCAGUGGCGAAGGCGACUCACUGGUCUGUAACUGACGCUGAGGAGCGAAAGCGUGGGGAGCGAACAGGAUUAGAGACCCCAGUAGUCCCUGUCUCUUAUAC
rnacentral:rRNA from 1 species